CAGGCUUAACACAUGCAAGUCGAGGGGCAGCAUGGUCUUAGCUUGCUAAGGCCGAUGGCGACCGGCGCACGGGUGAGUAACACGUAUCCAACCUGCCGUCUACUCUUGGACAGCCUUCUGAAAGGAAGAUUAAUACAAGAUGGCAUCAUGAGUCCGCAUGUUCACAUGAUUAAAGGUAUUCCGGUAGACGAUGGGGAUGCGUUCCAUUAGAUGGUAGGCGGGGUAACGGCCCACCUAGUCUUCGAUGGAUAGGGGUUCUGAGAGGAAGGUCCCCCACAUUGGAACUGAGACACGGUCCAAACUCCUACGGGAGGCAGCAGUGAGGAAUAUUGGUCAAUGGGCGAGAGCCUGAACCAGCCAAGUAGCGUGAAGGAUGACUGCCCUAUGGGUUGUAAACUUCUUUUAUAAAGGAAUAAAGUCGGGUAUGCAUACCCGUUUGCAUGUACUUUAUGAAUAAGGAUCGGCUAACUCCGUGCCAGCAGCCGCGGUAAUACGGAGGAUCCGAGCGUUAUCCGGAUUUAUUGGGUUUAAAGGGAGCGUAGAUGGAUGUUUAAGUCAGUUGUGAAAGUUUGCGGCUCAACCGUAAAAUUGCAGUUGAUACUGGAUAUCUUGAGUGCAGUUGAGGCAGGCGGAAUUCGUGGUGUAGCGGUGAAAUGCUUAGAUAUCACGAAGAACUCCGAUUGCGAAGGCAGCCUGCUAAGCUGCAACUGACAUUGAGGCUCGAAAGUGUGGGUAUCAAACAGGAUUAGAUACCCUGGUAGUCCACACGGUAAACGAUGAAUACUCGCUGUUUGCGAUAUACGGCAAGCGGCCAAGCGAAAGCGUUAAGUAUUCCACCUGGGGAGUACGCCGGCAACGGUGAAACUCAAAGGAAUUGACGGGGGCCCGCACAAGCGGAGGAACAUGUGGUUUAAUUCGAUGAUACGCGAGGAACCUUACCCGGGCUUAAAUUGCAGAUGAAUUACGGUGAAAGCCGUAAGCCGCAAGGCAUCUGUGAAGGUGCUGCAUGGUUGUCGUCAGCUCGUGCCGUGAGGUGUCGGCUUAAGUGCCAUAACGAGCGCAAUCCUUGUUGUCAGUUACUAACAGGUUCCGCUGAGGACUCUGACAAGACUGCCAUCGUAAGAUGUGAGGAAGGUGGGGAUGACGUCAAAUCAGCACGGCCCUUACGUCCGGGGCUACACACGUGUUACAAUGGGGGGUACAGAGGGCCGCUACCACGCGAGUGGAUGCCAAUCCCCAAAACCUCUCUCAGUUCGGACUGGAGUCUGCAACCCGACUCCACGAAGCUGGAUUCGCUAGUAAUCGCGCAUCAGCCACGGCGCGGUGAAUACGUUCCCGGGCCUUGUACACACCGCCCGUCAAGCCAUGGGAGCCGGGGGUACCUGAAGUGCGUAACCGCGAGGAGCGCCCUAGGGUAAAACUGGUGACUGGGGCUAAGUCAUAACAA
rnacentral:rRNA from 1 species